GGAGAGGUGGCUGAGUGGCCGAAAGCGCCGGUUUGCUAAAUCGGUGAGGGCCGAUAGGCUCUCCGCGGGUUCGAAUCCCGCCCUCUCCG
rnacentral:tRNA from 1 species